UGACGCUGGCGGCAUGCCUAACACAUGCAAGUCGAACGGCAGCACAGUGGAGCUUGCUCCAUGGGUGGCGAGUGGCGGACGGGUGAGGAAUACAUCGGGACCUGCCCAGACGUGGGGGAUAACGUAGGGAAACUUACGCUAAUACCGCAUACGUCCUACGGGAGAAAGCGGGGGAUCUUCGGACCUCGCGCGGUUGGAUGGACCGAUGUUCGAUUAGCUAGUUGGUGGGGUAAAGGCCUACCAAGGCGACGAUCGAUAGCUGGUCUGAGAGAAUGAUCAGCCACACUGGGACUGAGACACGGCCCAGACUCCUACGGGAGGCAGCAGUGGGGAAUAUUGGACAAUGGGCGCAAGCCUGAUCCAGCAAUGCCGCGUGUGUGAAGAAGGCCUUCGGGUUGUAAAGCACUUUUAUCAGGAGCGAAAUGCCAUUGGUUAAUACCCGGUGGAGCUGACGGUACCUGAGGAAUAAGCACCGGCUAACUUCGUGCCAGCAGCCGCGGUAAUACGAAGGGUGCAAGCGUUAAUCGGAAUUACUGGGCGUAAAGCGUGCGUAGGCGGUUUCUUAAGUCUGCUGUGAAAUCCCCGGCUCAACCUGGGAAUGGCAGUGGAUACUGGGAAGCUAAAGUGUGAUAAAGGAUGG
rnacentral:rRNA from 1 species